AAUUACCAGACGACGGCGACGAGGCCGUGAAUAUACGAAGAAUAUUUUUUCGUUGAAAGGACGACCAAAACGAAGAAAUAAACAAAGACCGAAUAGAUUUUUCAAGGCCAGUUUUCAGGUCUUCGAUUGUAUUCGAAGGCCGAUUAAAUCAACUCCAACUCAACAGUGAAUCAUUUAGGUACUCCUUGUUCGUUCUUCCGAUGGCUUUUACCGAUCGUAGAUUCGUUCCACCGGACUUAAAUAUCAUUUGCCUUUUACGUGCCUUUUCUGUUUCUGGUUUCCGCUCUUGCGUUUGAGUUUCAAGUCAGAAUUUGAUUUCUCGUUCUGGUUCUUCUGUUGUGGAAUUUUAUGCUUUUGGGAAGGGUAGACGUAGGUUUUAUGGCGAGUCGACGUGAUUUUAGUCUAAUCGGAAAUGAUUGAUUAGUUUCGAACAGAUUCCUCUUCUGUAAUGUUUGUUUUGUAAUUUUUUCGCUUGUGAUUCUCAGUUGAACUCAAGUGCUCUGCAUUGAUAGAUUGAGACGACGUGAAUUCAUCUGUAAUGGCAGUGCUUCUGUUGUUUUUACUUAUGUCCAACUUUUUUUGUGUGAAUAUAUGCUGCUGCUGUUUGUUGAGCUCGUGCCGGUUGCUCUUAGCCGUAGUUCUUCUAAUUUAGAGUUUUUUAACUCCGAAUUGCUUCUUGUGUCUGUUUAGAUGUGCAUGUGUCGCGUGGUUCGUUGAUUUUGGACAUGUUUUGUUCUAAUUAUCUUUAGGAUACUGGGAAUGGGGAACCGUGGGCAAAAGCGGUCUGAGGUUAUUGAUGAAUUGCCAGCUGACAAGAGAGCUUGCAGUUCAUUGGAUUUUAGACCCAGUUCAUCUAAUUCCUCAGUGCAGGCACAGAUGACCGACGCACCUGAUGCCAAUGCUGCGGAGACCCCUGUUGCUGACAUGGAUACUUCUUCUUCUCAUUCUGCUUCUAGCCAAUCGGAGGAAGAACAUGAGAGGGAUUCUGCUUAUGGAUCGUGUGACUCAGAUGAUGCGGAUCCAAGGCAGAGCAGCCUGCGUAAUUAUCAGAGGCAAAGGUCAUCCGGUGAUCACGGUAGACUAAGGAGUAUUUUGACCAAUAUGAAUGAAGGAAGUGAAUCCUCUGCCAAGUUAGCUACACUCACGCAGUUGUGUGAAGUGCUGGCAUUUUGCACCGAGGAUUCACUUUCAAUUGUGAUGGCAGAUUCGUUAUCCCCAGUUCUUGUUAGGUUUGCUAGAGAUGAGAGUAACCCUGACAUAAUGCUCUUGGCCAUAAGGGCUUUAACUUAUUUGUGUGAUGUUUUCCCUCGGGCAUCUAGUUUUCUUGUUGGACAUGAGGCUGUUCCUGCUCUUUGUCAGAGAUUAAUGAACAUUGAAUACCUAGAUGUCGCUGAACAGGUACAUUUGGAUAUUUAGCAUCGAUUGUCUUACCAUCUUAUCUCAUGAAACAUGCAACAGUUUAUCUGACCCCUAUUCAUUCUAAUCCCACAGUGUCUGCAAGCAUUGGAGAAAAUCUCACGCGAUCAACCACUCCCUUGCUUACAGGCUGGGGCUGUCAUGGCUGUUCUAAGUUAUAUAGACUUCUUUUCGACAAGUGUGCAAGUGAGUGAUAUUUAGACAUGCCACCAGUAAGAGAUUUUUGUUACACUUACUAAUUUUUUCCUGUGGAUCCUUUAAGCUAUUUUGUCCCUGGAGCUCUGAACAAUGCCUUUUUCCUUUUUUUUUUCAUUUCAGAGAGUUGCUUUGUCAACAGUGGUUAAUGUAUGUAAAAAACUGCCAACAGAAUGUCCUCCCCCUCUCAUGGAGGCUGUUCCUAUAUUGUGCAAUCUCUUGCAGUAUGAAGAUCGACAGGUAUAAUGCAUUUUAAAUUUAGUUCCUUUUUCUUUAUUUUUUUGGUAAAAUUUCUGCAUUCAUGUCAUGAUAAUAACCAAUGACAAUGUUAACCUUCUUUUGUCAUGUUACUAUGUAGCUUGUUGAAAAUGCAGCCUCUUGCUUGAUCAAAAUAGUCGAGCGAGUUAGUCAUUCUUCUGAGAUGUUGGAUGAUCUGUGUAAGCAUGGGCUAAUAAAUCAGGCUACACAUUUGGUACAAGUGAAUGGAAGAACUACUUUAUCCCAGCCAAUAUAUAUUGUAUGUUUCUUCAAUCGGUUAAUCCUUGUGAUUUAUCCUUGUUUGUAUUGGAUAUUGUUUCUAUGACAUUCUAACUUUAUUACCUCUGCAGAGCAUGAUUGGGCUCCUUGCUAAAUUAUCAUCUGGUUCACUUAAUGCUUUCAAGGCUCUAUAUGAUCUUAAUAUAAGCAGUAUUCUUAAGGAGAUAUUAGCAAAUUAUGACCUUUCUCAUGGAAUCUGCUCUCCUCAUGUGGUUGAUGGGCAAGGCAACCAGGUAAAAUCCAAGAGUGCCUACGUUUAUACUUUCUUUGUCAUUCCCAAGCAAGGUUGGCUUCAUGCUGAAUCCACUAUCCAAGAGUGCCUAGUUUUAUCCUUUCUUUAGCAUUGCCAACCUUUGCACAAAAAUAUCUUGGUCUGGUGUUCGAAUCAAGGAAUUUGUUUGUUCUAUUGAUUCAAGUGUCAUUCCUUUCAUUACUUCUGUGGGAAUUUUAUUUGAGAUGCAAAGUCAUAUUUAUAAGUUUUCAUUUGUGUAUGUGCUUUGAAAGACCACAUUACCAUCAGCACCUUACAUGAAUGCUUUUGCUCUGAAGUUGCGUUUUUGUGGCUUUUUCUUUUGGAGUAUUCUCAAUACUGUUUCUAAAAUGUAGGUACACGAAGUUCUAAAGUUGCUGAUUGAGCUUCUACCUUCAGUAACAGGAGACCAAGAUGUUCAACAACAGUUGUCGGAUAAGCAUUCAUAUCUUAAUGAUCAUCCUAAUCAUCUGCAUAGAUUGGGGUCAGACAUCAUUCCCCUGCUGGUCCAGGUUUGCUUCUAGGCUGUGAACUGACUUGUUUCAUUGAAUAUUUCUUUUUCUUACCUUUUUACUUUCACUUCCACUCAAAACAGGUGGUUAAUUCUGGUGCAAAUUUGUAUGUCUGCUAUGGCUGCCUAACUGUCAUCAACAAGUUAGUUUACUUGUGCAAAGCUGACAUGCUUGCUGGUUUGCUUAUGGAUGCAAACGUACCAAGGUGAACUGUCUUCUUGUCCUCAGAUAACAGCUGCCCUGUACCUUUUUCUAUUACCUAACUGCUACCUUCGGAUGAUCUUGUAGUUUUAUAGCUGGUGUCUUUACUCGAAAGGAUAUCCAUGUACUGGUUUUAGCCCUGCAAAUUGCGGAGAGAAUUUUGCAGAAGGUUCCAGAAGUUUGUCUGAACUCUUUCAUUAAGGAGGGCAUCUUUUUUGCGAUUGAUGCCCUUCUAGAUCCUGACAAAUGUUCAAGUUCGAUUUUCCCUGGGUCCAAUGGCUUUCAGCUGCCGUUUGACUCAGGUCAAAGGCCUCCUUCAAAGACUACACUAAGGUGCUUAUGUUAUUCUUUUGAUACCAAUCAGUCUCCCUCAAGUUCAGAAGCUGGAGCAUGCAAGCUUGAAAAGGACAGUGUUCAAACUCUUGCAAGGCACAUAAGAGGCAGUUACUUUACUCCAGGAUUGGAUGAUUCUGACAAGGGGAUGACAGAUAUUCUCCAAAAUCUCCGUGCUAUGUCUAUUGCUUUGGAUGGUUUAAUGAGUAAAGAUGAUUUUGUUCUUGUUACUCGUGGCGAGGAGAGCUCUGAUAGGUUACUGCAAAAAAUUAUGGGGAAGCUUAGCGGAAAAGAACCCGUCUCGACCUUCGAGUUUAUCGAGAGUGGGAUUGUAAGAUCAUUGGCGAGUUAUUUGUCAAAGGGUUUGUACUUCAGAGAAAAGAUGGCACCACCAGCUGAACGUGAUUACAUCCAUGCUAUAGAAAGGUCCGGGGUACUUGCCAGGGUAUUUUCAUUAUCCACGGAUCAUAAGGAAGGGUUGAUGAUAUCAUUAUUUAUACAAAAAUUGCAAAAUGCAUUAUCAUCGUUGGAAACUUUUCCAGUCAUUUUAAGCCAACCAUUCAAGCAAAGAAAUUUCUUUGCCACAGUUCCUCAUGGACGCGUCGCGCCCUACCCAUGCUUGAGAGUUCGUUUCAAAAAGGAUAAAGAGGAGAUGCUCAUUCGUGACUACUGUGAAGAUGUCGUAUCUGUUGACCCUUUUGCUUCUCUGAAUGCUAUUCAAGGAUUUUUGUUGCCUAAGGUUAGUAUAAGAAUGACAGAUCAAGCACAAUCAGCUGCCCAGGCUUUGGAGCCAAUGGAAGGUGUAGAACUCCAAGUACCAUUGAACGGAAGCUCUGGUCAAGUAGAAAGUUCAGGGACAGUGGAAGCUGACAACACAACUGUAGGUUUUCCUGGAGUACUUCUAUGUGGUUUUUUCUUUGCCUAUGAAUGGAUGAAUCCUCUUCAUGAGAUGUCUUGCCCACCCUUAAACGUUCUCCUUCCAUUAAUUUUCCCUUCCUGCUUGGCUCUGUGUGUUCAAGGACUUGACAUUUGACAGACCCUUCGAACUUUCUUGUAGGAAGAUCAGGCUAAGCUAUCUCAACCUCCAUCUGAAAAUGGUGGAAAUCUGCAGCAGAGAAGGGCCAGUCAAUCAUCAUCUGCAAUCAAUGACCUUAGUGUGAGUCGACUCUUGUCUCGUGAAUUAACAAGUUCCUGAUCUUGUGUGACUCUUUCACCUGAAGCUUUCAAACUUGUAUCUGCUGCUUUAUAUUUAUAUUUGAACACAACACGCACACUCUUACCAAAUAUGUUCUGCCAUGGCUCAACUUAGAAAGAUUUUGGAUAACUUCUAUAAUCUUAAUCUUCCUGAAAUUGACCUUUUUGUUGAAAAUCUUAAUCUUCUGCAAUUUAAUCUUACUUGUACGAUUUUUCUCUAGGUGAGUUAAUCAUUAGAAGAUAUUCAAUAAUAGAGUAUGCUUUUAUUAAAAAAAACAGAAUAUGAGGUUUCUUCCUGACCUUGUAAUUCUAUCAUUUGGCCCUUUUUAUUUUGAUUAAACAUGCAACUGCGGUUGAUGUUUCUCUAAUAAGGAAAAACAGUGGACCUCAACUCUGCAAGUUGCGUUCCUGUGUAUCAGGAUUCUGUCGAACCGGGGGGGCAUUCUCCUUUAAGGAGAGGAGUGGGAUCCGAAAGUUGUUUUUCUGCAUCUCCUCGCGACGAAGAAGGUUUGCUUGAUCUGGCUUUCUACAUGGACGGGCAACAGCUAGACCAGACUUUAACACUGUACCAAGCAAUUCUUCAACAGAAGAUUAGAUCAGACCUUGAAAUUAAUGUCAGUGCAAGCUUUUGGAGUCAAGUAUACACAAUUACAUACAGGGUAGCUUCCGAGUCUGGUGAUGGAAGUUGUCAAGGCACUCAGGGCUCACUUCGACCAGCUUCCAUUUUGGGGAAAAAUGAAGCUGGUUUGCAGUACGUGUCAUAUUUCCAUGCCAUGUUUGGUUCUGAGCUAGUCUCUGAUGUGGAUAAAUCAAGUCCUACUUAUGAUAUAUUGUUUCUUCUCAAAUGCUUGGAAGGCCUCAACAGGUGCACCUUUCAUCUAAUGUCUCGUGAAAGAAUGCAUUCUUUUGCCAAAGGGUUAGUACACAACUUCGAUGAUAUCAAGGUGGUUGUUAAUUCAGCAUCACAGAAUGAGUUUGUUAACACUAAAUUGACUGAAAAACUUGAGCAGCAGAUGAGAGAUUCUAUAGCACUUUCAACAGGUGGGUUACCUCUGUGGUGCAAUCAGCUAAUGGCUUCAUGCCCCUUUCUGUUUGGAUUUGAGGCAAGAUGCAAGUACUUCCGUCUAUCAGCCUUUGGUACUCAGAGAAUUUUGUCACAGCUGCAACCACAUAAUAAUUCAGGCCUAUCAAGAGACAGGCGACUACUUACUGGUAAUUUGCAUCGUAAAAAGUUCUUGGUAUCUCGUGAUCAAAUUCUGGAGUCUGCAGCACGUAUGAUGGAGCUUUAUAACAAUGUUAAAACACCCAUUGAAAUUGAGUAUAAUGAAGAAGUUGGUACUGGUCUUGGCCCAACAUUGGAGUUCUAUACUCUGGUCGCUCGUGAAUUUCAAAAGUCUGAUCUUCUUAUGUGGAGAGGAAAACAUUUUUCAUCCACAGUGAAAGAUGUGUCCCCAAUUGGACUUUUCCCUUGCCCAAUUCCACCUAUGAUGGAUGCAGCUAACGGAAUACAAUUUUCUGAGAUUAGUAAGAAGUUUGUCCUCUUGGGACAAGUCGUGGCAAAAGCUCUUCAAGAUGGAAGAGUCUUGGAUCUUCCAUUCUCCAAAGCUUUCUAUAAGCUUAUUCUUAAUCAGGUAUUUAAACAACUCAUACAGUCAUGUGAAAUUCGAGUGCUUCCACUCUUCACAAUACUCAAUUUGUGGAUAAUGCUGAAUUUGGUUUUAUUCAUGCCUCGUAGGAACUUAAUAUAUGCGACAUCCCUUCUUUUGACCCUGAGCUGGGUAGGACAUUGCUAGAGUUUCAGGCACUAUUCAACAGGAAAAAGCUUUUGGAAUCAAAUGUUGGAGAUAACUCAUCUUCCAAUUUUGAUGGAUGCUUCCGGAACACUAGAAUUGAGGAUCUCUGUCUUGACUUUACUCUUCCUGGCUAUCCUGAUUAUGCUCUAGAUGCCAAUCAAGAUAACAAAAUGGUGAAGCAUAUUCCAAAUCAGUAAAUGUUUCUGCUAAUAAUAAUGUAGUGAUAAAUGGUCUUAACUACUGUUAUAAUUGUUUUGAUGCAAAGGUAAAUAUGGACAACUUGGAGGAGUAUGUUACUCUUGUGGUGGAUGCUACUGUGUGCUCUGGAAUUACUAGACAGACUGAAGCUUUCAAGUCUGGAUUUAAUCAGGUAUAUCUCAUCGGGUGUUGGUAUGACAUCUGUUGAGAACUGCCGUUUUCCCCCUUCCUAUUAUAUUGUUUUUUGCUUUCAGUUGUUCGUACUUUACUUAUCAGUUCUUUUGACAAUGAUAAUUUGAGUGAUUCUUGGGAACCUACUUUCAGGUGUUUCCAAUCGAACAUCUCAAGAUUUUCACAGAAGAAGAAUUGGAGCGUCUACUAUGUGGAGAGCCGGAUUUUUGGAGUGUAAGUUCAUCUCUUGUUUGCAAAAUCAUUUCCUUGGUACCACUAGUUAUAUCAAUUUUCGAUCUUUCUGAUUCUCUCCUCACUUCCACCUGAAUCAGUGUAAUGAGCUACUGGAUCAUAUCAAGUUUGAUCAUGGAUACACAGCAAGCAGUCCUCCAGUCGUAAACGUUAGCUCUCUCUCUUCUUCUCUCUUUCCCUCACUAUCACUCUCAGUGGAUUUCCGGAGUGUUGAUUGUUUUCUUCGUUGUGGAAUCAGUUGCUAGAAAUCAUGCAGGAGUUUGAUUACUCGAAGAGACGAGCAUUCAUCCAGUUCGUGACAGGGGCACCUCGACUUCCUCCAGGAGGUCUAGCAUCCCUGAAUCCUAAGCUGACUAUUGUCAGGAAGGUCUGCUUAUUUCUUCCAUUAAUCCCAAACGAAACCUUUCUCAUGACGUCAUCUCUUCUCCGAUUCAACUUGUACAAAUCACCUCUCUUUGUUUCUCUGUCCAUAUAGCAUUGCAGCAUUUCCUCGGAUGAAGACCUACCCAGCGUGAUGACCUGUGCUAAUUACCUGAAGCUGCCUCCUUACUCAUCCAAAGUUAGUAACAACCUAAAUCCUUCACAAACUUUUUAGUGUUCGUCGUGUUUCUGUUAUCUCUGCCACUGUCUGAUGUUUUCCUCAUUUGCCAGGAGAAGAUGAAGGAGAAACUUAUAUACGCGAUAACAGAAGGGCAAGGAUCGUUCCAUCUUUCGUAGAAGGGCGGGUACAUAAUCAUAAAAAAUGUGUGAAUUUGUAAAUAACAGGAUAGGGAGCUUUCUUUUGUUUCCUUUCUUAGAUUGCAGGUGGCCGGAGGGGGAUUAUGUGUGGGAGGGAGGGGGGCGUUGGGGGGGAGGGGGAGAUGAUGUACAGACUAGGAAGUAAAGCAGGUAGCAGUUGUUGGUGUACAGUAACAGUUAUGGGGAAGUUUAAGUAAUCUGAAGUUUCAUUUCAUUUAUAGUUUGGAAUGAAGUCUGUUUGAUUUUGUUUUUGCUUCAUUUGAUUUCGUUUAAUGCAAGUAUAGAAUGAAAUAGUUUCAGCAUUGCAUUCUGAGACGGGUGAAGUUUCAGCUCCGACAGGUAAAGUCUGGAAGACGAUAAAUUAAACUGUAGAAUCGAAGUAGAAUCAGAGUAACUUAUAGCCGGGAUAGAGAAAGAAAAUUACACCAAAAAUAUAUUCGGUUGGUAAGUCAAAGAGCAUAUGUGGGAUGUAACAGGAUUUGAGUUUGAUACAUUCAAAUUACUGGCGCGCAUAUAACUCUAUUACUAGACCGUCACUCUCUUCCGGCUACUUGGGGUUACUAUGUUGACGUUGUUGUUCGAGCACCAUCCGGUAUGUCAAGUGGUGAUGGGGGACUAGGCUUGGUUCUUCUGGACGAGGCACACUCUUACGAAGUGGAUAUGUUAUCAACUACAUCACCAACCUUUUGGCUCUAGAGUUAAUGACAGUCCGAUGAGUUCUCUUUGAUGCUAUUUGAUGGCAUCCACGGGCCAUGGCCAAUCAUCGACACUAAUUUGGCUGAGGUCUCUCGUCUUCUCAACUCCCUACAUUCUCGUUGGCAUGCUUCCCCAAGAUUGUAGCGUUGUAUUCUCCGCUUCCUCCGUAAAUAUAUGUCAAUUACAUCUCUCAUCAUGAUAAUAGUGCCUUCUAUUUACCUCCUGAAAAAAACACAUCCCCUCUGUCAAUCCCGCAAGGAUAACAUACGCAGCCGACGCUCCCAAACAGCUUUUUGCCGCGUCACUGUCAGAUAAAUUAACAAAAAAUUACUUGCUUCUCUCUCCCGAGAUCAGUGCUCCAGUUGUUUUCUUUUGCGAGGUUUGUUUCCUUAAACAAAAAUUAAAUUGCUAGUUUAUUGCAACUCUCAACUGCCGCCUUCUCCAAAUUCAAAUUCUCUUUCCUCUGUCAUAAUUUUUUUUUUACAAUCUCAUCCCCCCCCCCCCCCCCCUUUACAACACAAACACCCCCCCCCCCAAUUCUACACUCAAUCACCCUCCCUGAAGCUCCGGUGCUCCGAUACGACGAUGAGCGAGUUCCGCGAGAAUUUCGGACCGGCAGAUAACCCGCUGGGACUCAUCGACGUCUCCUUCGAGGACGACUGCCUCUAUUCCACUUCUUCCCCGCCUCGCGACUUCCACUUUUCAGGUCGCUUUCCUUGUCAAUUUUUGUCAUUUCCCUUCCUCUUCUAGUCUUCUUCUCCAUCGCGAUCGCUUUUGCUCUGCGGUUAUCCCUUUCUUAUUCCGCUGUCUAUUUCUGCAUGUUAAUAAUCGGAUCUUCAUCUAGCAACACCGGAACUUGGCUGAUUAGGAGUUCCCGGAAUGGAGCUAAUAUUCACCUUAUCAUUAGAUCAAUCUGACUGUGUAAUACUUAUAGGGGAAGGUUUCUCAAACUCCUUGACUGGUCUAGCUUAGCUGCUGAGUGCUGAGGGUUAGAAGUUGUAAAUUGGAAAUGUUUCUCGCAUUGGCCGAUUUUUUUCCCGAAAUCACAUCGUACUUGUAUUAAUACUCUGGCUGAAUUUCUAUUCAACUUAAUUUGCAGAUGAUUUAUUGGACGCUGGAGAUCCACUGUCCUUAAACAUUACAGAUUCGCCGAGUCGUCAGACGUCAGUUGGCGGAGAUGAUGUCCGGGAACCAGAUGAGAGGAAAAAAAAUCUGAAGUGCAAUCUGCGCAAAAGUUUAGCCUGGGAUAGCGCGUUCCUCAACAGUGCAGCAGGUAUGCUUUUUAAAUUAUAAUGGUUUCAGAUGGAGUUACACUUAUAUUUGAAAUGCUUUAUCUGGAUUUCAAAGUUGAAUCUUCUACGUGAUUAAUUAGGUGUUCUAGAACCAGAUGAGUUGUCUAGUAUCGCUGGACAGACUGAGAGUAGAGGAAUGUUACCUGGAAUCAGAGAGGAGUUGGAAAGAUCAACGGACUCAUUAUCUACCCUGUCAAGUGAUGGGUUGACUAUGGAUAAUCUUGAAGGUGACUUGUUUGGUGACAUUAGAGCAUCGAUCCAGAAAUCAAAUGGAUCCUCUGCUACGACGAAGUCCAUGGCCAAGUCCCUUAGAACUGGAUCUGGCAUGGCUGCCAGCCAAAUAAAACAAUGUGAGUAAUUAAUUUCAUUUGAGCUGAAUAUCCUACAGAUGGAGAUUUGUUCGAGAGUUAUCCAACAUAUCCAUGUACCUCGAGGGGUUUCUUUCAUAACUCAUAUUAUACCUUUGCAGCUCCAAGAACAGUAGAGGAAGCUUCUCCAAACAAGGUAAUCUCUUUACUUUGGUGACCGGUGGUAAAUAUAUACACGUUUGUUAUAAGUAGUAUGAGUACCUAUGUGUCUUAGUAGGUGCAAUUUAUUGAUUUUGCUUUUCAGCCAAAAGCUAAUGCUGCACUGAAGAAGCCAGUUACUGUCAUCCCAGGAUCACGAAGAACGUUGAAGUCAGCAUCUUCUAGUGCACAAGCUCCCCAGGAAAGUGCCUUUUACUUGAUAAUUGUGGAAGUGACUUUUAUUAGUCUAUCCAAAGGUGUGCAUUAGCCAUUCAAGAUUAAGUCAACUAACAAAUUUCUACAAACGCAGUCCCUUGCCAUAAAAAAGGAAUCAGCAUCCCUGUCUAAGCCUCCUAAGAUGGCAGGCAGAGGUAGCAUAUCAACAGCAGCUAACGGACCUUUACUGAACCACAACCGUGUUAAACUGGAAGAUGAUAAAAGAAAACGUUCGGCUUCAGAAAAUUCAAAAAAACUGAGAGGUAAAUUAGAUCAGUAAUUUAUAGUUUCCAGUUACCACUGUACAAGUGUGUGGUGCUGGCCUUCAAUAGGAUCUCUAUUGUUGCAGGAACACUAAAACCCCCAACUUCUAGUGGUCCGAGUAAUACUGUGUCCAGGCUACGUCCACUUUCAGUUGCCUCCUCUUCAUCCAGUCGUUCCGAAAGCAUUUCAUUAGACGGUAGCAUCAAAUCUUCAAAAUCUGUUAGAAGAAAUGUGGCCCCGAGGACUGGUGUUCCAUCUGGUAGCCUAAUAGCUAAAGCCGCAUCAAGAAUCACUACGAAAAGUAAAAAUCUCUCAACCAUUCCACAACCUUCGCUCUAUCUCAAGUCUGCAGCCAAGCUCUCCCCAAGCAUUUCACCAGCAAGUUCAGUUAGUGAAUGGUCGUUAGAUUCAGUGUCAUUUUCACCAACUUCACCUCUCAAUAAGAGAUCUAAUUAUUCAAGAUCUAGCAUUGGCUCGAGUUCCUGUGGAGACUACUGUUAUCAAGAUGACUGCAGCUCCCAGGUUUCGGAUUCUCAAAGCCAUACUAGCGAAAACAGUGCAGUCAGCAUCCAAAGUCUGUCAUCAAUUGGAAGGGUCUCAAAUGAAAGUGGAGGACUUCACACAGAUGUGGGCAGGCGCUCAGGCCUCCGACUCCCAUCGCCAAAGAUCGGUUUCUUCGAUGGGGUAAGUCCUUCGUAGCUUUUACUUUUACAAAUGCUGGUUUCCUUGCAAAGCACGUCAUCUCUGUGUUUUCAGUUGUGUUAGGUUUUAUGUUCCGAUCUGAGCAUAUUGUCAUAUCUUUACUUAUUUCGAUACAGGGGAGAUCAUCAUCAGCCUUAAAGUCGAACGGAUAUGUUCAACCGCAACCAGGAGCACGAAGCGGAAUACCUAGACCGGGGACAGUUGUUCAGGGAAAGCUAGGAAAGGUUCAAAAUGCUAAAACAACCACUCCGGUGAAAAGUCCGAAGAUAGGCACUCCAAAACAACCCUUGAGCUCCAAGUCGAAAUCUCCAUUGUCUCGUGAGGAUCCUUCCAGUGCAGCUGCUGUACCAAAGGCUGGUAGCAUUUCAAAAAGCGCAACGCGGUCUCCGGGCAUAUCCCCGACGGUGCAAAACAAGAUAUCAUCCGCUGGUGACGAAAAUUUGAAGCCUAUGAAGGUGACGCAUAUUGAUGAAAGAAAUGCUCCUAACGGGAAGGCCAGAAACCAUGUUCUAUCUGAUGGAGAAGUUGCAGUUACAGAGUGCAACCACAAAGCUAGUGCUACAAGGAAAGAACAUGUGGAGGUUAGUAAAAGAGAGACGGCUUUACUUGAACAGUUGGGGGCUACGAAUGUUCAUAGCCACAUAAUGGAGGAAACUCCUGGCAAAGCUCCUGUGAUUGUGAACGCAGAAAGCUCAUUGCCAUUAGAGUGAGAACUGUAGAGUCAUAAAAUCUUCACGAAGCCAAAGGACUGUAAUAUUAGGUGCUACUAGGUAGAGCGAUAGCCGAAGAUCCAAAAGAUUAUAGUUUCGCGUUUUGCAACAAUCUUCGGAGGAGUGCUCGUUGACUUUCCAAUGCAGGAGAGUAGAUAGAACAGAAUAGAGGAUGAUCUCUUGAGUUGGUUUGGAACAUUUAUCAAUCAUCAUUAAUUCCUAACAUAACAUUGUUAUUCCUCUUGAAUUGGUUUGGCACAUUCAUAGUUCGACGAUAUCUUACUUUCAGCACAUUCAUAACAUUGUUAUAUCUGUUGCAUUUCGAUCAAUGGACAUCGUGCAAUGAACUAUGAAGUGUGACCAUUCAUCUAGAUGGGUCGCAAAAAAUUAGAUUAGAAAUACCAUUUCAGAACUUCCAAAGAAUAAUCAUGGCAAGGAAGAAGCAAACAAUACUAGAACUCGGAUAGAAGCUCCAAAAUAUAAGAUUCCAUGGAAAUGUAUUGAGAACAUACGGCUUACAAGAUUCAAUUAUCCUCGGACAAAAAAACAAACAAUCCAGAGCUGUUUUGGAAGAGACUAAGAGCAAAACUACAGCAGCAAAGAACUAAGCAAACUCUCCAUUCAACUUAAGACCUUGGCUUCUCCUUCUUCUCCUUAAAUAGGGCCAAGAGGGAGACACCUGAGACCUUCACCACCUUGAAACGAACACCGGGAAUAUCACCGACAGCAUGACCCUUACGACCGAAACCAGCAAUGAGCACCUCGUCCUAAACGAAGCAGAACCAAGAAAGGUAAUUAGUAAACAGAGUUAGCCGGUGGAUAUAUGGAUAGAUUGUAAAGAAAAUGGCUUACAUUUUCUUCAAUGUAGUUCAAACAACCAUCGUUAGGGACAAAGGCAGCAAUCUUCUUCCCGUUCUUGAUGAGCUGAACCCUAGCACACUUUCUGAUAGCAGAAUUGGGCUGUUUGGCUUCAAUACCACUGAAGCAAGAGUUCAAACACAGUAGUUAAAAUGGCAGAUCUUUAAGAGGAUAGUCUACUCAAGAACACAAUGCGAAAGCCAAAUCAUACAUCUUCUCCAGAACAAUUCCCUUGGCAUGGGAAGAACCAGCGAAGGGCUUUUUCCACUCGUUACCCAAGUUAGACUUCUUGUAAGCCUUGUCAGCCCACCUUUGCCUCCUGCGGUGGUCCUUCAGCUUGCGAGCUGCUCCCAUACCACGUGUCUUCCUGCACAAGAAGGAUUCAAUAGAUAAAAUUCAUACACCAAUUUGUUUGAGAAACAUAGCCACACAAGAAAAACUGCAGAUAUCUUGCAUUUUUUCAUGAUGAGCAGUGAGUGAAACGUUUAGUGAUUAACUUUAAAACCACCCCAUCCUCUAAAAUCAAGUUUCCAUCACUGAUAUAAAUUUACAGGCAAACGCAACGAUCGAAACACCAAAGUUGAAUUCAUAUCCUAGCUUAAAGCUCAGGCAGCGAUGAUGAAUGGUGAAACUGGGCACAUAGAACUUGAUAUAAGCUAGUGUAACAAACCAAAACGAGAACUAGGAACAAAGGAGGAUUCGUAAACAAUUAAGUAUUCUAAUUAAACUAUGAUGAACAAGAGCUCAUCAGAAAUCGGGAAAUGCAGUUUACGUUCCAUAAUCAGCUACAUCUUUCACAUUAGCAAAACGAGCAGAGUGUAAACGACGCUAGAAGCUUAAGAACUCCAAAGACUAGAGACGUACCCCAUGACUGCUAGGAGGAGUAGAGCGGCGGCGCAGAGGGUUUCCUGAGAUUGGAGAAGGAAGGAGAACAACUUGCCGCUUCAAUGUGAGAAAACCCUAGGAUUUGUUUCUCGUUGCUACAAUGUAUAUAAAUAGAUUGGUAGGUAGGCUGAAAACAGGCCUUAUGAACUAAGUAACUCGGCCCACCAAGAUCCUGUCCAUUCGGAUGGGCUCAGUCUAAAUGAUCUAUAGGUUUCAGCCCAUCACUUCUAAAUUCUGUACCGAACUUUGGUCGGCCUGACCCAUCUCCAGGAUGUUGGUUGACGAAAAUGACUCAACAUGCGGCGAGAAUACUCAUCUGCAUCGUUCAUUUCAUGUAGAAUUGCGAUCAAAAAUGUUGAAGGUGAAAGCAGAGAAAAUCGAAGAAGAAGAUGUGAAGCUGGCGAUAUGCAAAGCCGGAGAAGGAGAUGUUGUGAUAGGGAUUGAUCUCGGCACAACUUUCUCUUGCGUGGCCGUCGCAAUCAACGGCAACGUCGAAAUCACAGCCAACGAUCAAGGCAACCGGACAACUCCUUCAUUCGUUGCCUUCUCUGCCUUCAGUUCCGAGCGUCUCAUCGGCGAAGCAGCCAAAAAUCAGGCGACUCUCAACCCCCGCCGCACCGUUUUCGAUGUAAAACACCUCGUCAGCAAGAAGUUCGACAACCCCGUGGUUCAAAAGGACAUGCAAUAUUUGCCUUAUUCCGUGGUCAACAGAGGUGCAAAGGCUUACGUGGAAUUGGAGGUCAAAAUUGGAGAAAAAGUCGAAGCAUUCAGCCCGGAAGAAAUCAGUGCCAUGGUGUCGGGGAAGAUGAAGGAAACCGCUGGAUCUUAUCUCGGAAAGCCGGUACACCGAGCCGUAUUGACGGUGCCGGCUUACUUCAACGACGCACAGAGAGAAGCCACCAAGAACGCCGGCAUAAUCGCCGGCCUAGACGUCCUUCGUAUAAUCAACGAGCCUACUGCAGCCGCCCUAGCCUACGUAUUCAAAGAACAAAAGAAUCCUCUGAAGAGAAAGAGGACGACGGCCGCAAAUAUUUGGACUUUUUAUCAUCACCAAAGUUGAUAACAAAUGUUGUGAAUUGUGGGUGCAGAAUUUUUCAGAUUUCUAAAACACAGUUUGAUUUUAACGUUUUUUAUAUCCACGUGCAUAGACCAAAGAAGUUAUGAUUAACAUACAGAUUACAGAACAGAAAACUCAUCACUCAAAGGUGAACCAGUCAAGCAUUUCUUCACAAAACAAAGGUUUGUUGUCUCAUUUCCCAGCUAAGUUGUGUUGAUUAAGCAUGAAAACAAACUUAAAACUAAUAGAGCCACCAUCCCAAAUCCAAAUAGCCUAUACAGUACUAGCAGUGGUCUUAAACAAAAGAGCUGCAAGGGUUCUUGACAUUAUAUAUACUUCUCCAUAUCCAAACCUGCACAAAGAUUCAAGCUUUUCAGUCAAAUCUGCAGUAACCAAAUUGCCAAACAAAGAGUCUGAGGGAAGAAGACUUGCCUUACAUGAUGGUUUUACUUCUGACCUUUCUUCCACAACACGCCAAUCUUCUUCAGCACAUUCCCAUUCUUCUUCUUCAGCGACUCAUCAUCCAUAUCCUCCGAGAAAGGCGAGCCCACCAUUGCCCCAGCUAUGGUGGUGUAGUUGACAUUAUUAUCAAGCGAACCGGUCCUCUCCACGAACUUCCCACCAUUGUUGUUCUCUGUAGAGAGCAUGGCCGCAGCUGCUUCAGCUGCCUUCCUCCAUUGAUCUGCCUGCACCUUCAACCUCCUAAGUUCACUUUCCAUUUCCGAGUUAGCAGCUUGGGAUGCUUCGAGCUGCUCAGUUACCCUAGCUGCUCUCCUGCUGCUCUUAUCUGCUUCCUCAGUUAUGUAGCCAAGUUUCAUCAAUGCUUCCCUCUCAGCUGCCUUUGCUGUUUCGGCCAAAGCAGCUGCUUCGUCGUUGGAUUUACUCCUCUCUUCUUCACCUCUCUUGGUUUCCAUCUUUAGCAUCUCAUUCUGUUCAGCUAAGCUUUCAACUUGUGCCUCUUUCUCCAACAGGCUUGCUUUCAACUCUGUGAACUCACACUCCAACUUCUUCAAAUCGGUCUCGAGAUCACCUUCCUUCUGAGGAGCUUCUUUGUCCUUUAUAAUGGCCUUCAAUUCAUCAAUGUAUGCCUCUCUUUCCGCUAACUCCUGCUUCAUUUGUUCAACUUGUUCAUAAGCUCCUCGUAUCUGCAGUGUACUCUGAAUGUACUCCUCCUGGUACCUUGCCUCGGAAGCUUCGAGAUCGGCUCUCAGUUGACACACUUCAGCUUUCAAAGAGUUCAUCUCCUCCUCAUUUUGCGUUCUCGCUGGAGGAGAUUCUGAUUCCGAAUCUUCCUUCAGUUUGCUCACAAGCUCCUCCAAGGACUUGACUCGAUCCUUCGACUCCUCUAACUCUAACGCCAACCGGUCACAAGCUUCCACGGACUUAAUACCAUCCACAUGCAGCUUUUCAGCAUUUGCAUUACUCGUUUCCAAUUCCUUCCGAGCUUUGCUAACAGCAUCCAAUGCCUCAGCUUCGGACUUCCUAUAAUCACACAGUUCAGAUUUCAUUGUCUCGACGAUUUCUGACUCAGCAUGUGCUGAUUCAGAUUCAGCCACUACAACUUGCAGCAGAUUCUUCAGCCGCUGGAUUUCGUUCAUGGCAGUCGCCAAGGCAGCUGAAUCCAUCGAAUGCUGCUUCUGGACGGCUUCGAGUUCGGACUGCCACGCUCUAUCUCGGUCGUGGGANNNNNNNNNNNNNNNNNNNNNNNNNNNNNNNNNNNNNNNNNNNNNNNNNNNNNNNNNNNNNNNNNNNNNNNNNNNNNNNNNNNNNNNNNNNNNNNNNNNNNNNNNNNNNNNNNNNNNNNNNNNNNNNNNNNNNNNNNNNNNNNNNNNNNNNNNNNNNNNNNNNNNNNNNNNNNNNNNNNNNNNNNNNNNNNNNNNNNNNNNNNNNNNNNNNNNNNNNNNNNNNNNNNNNNNNNNNNNNNNNNNNNNNNNNNNNNNNNNNNNNNNNNNNNNNNNNNNNNNNNNNNNNNNNNNNNNNNNNNNNNNNNNNNNNNNNNNNNNNNNNNNNNNNNNNNNNNNNNNNNNNNNCUCUCGUGGCGGCCCCCUCCGACGCCACGGCCUUGUGGUCAUAUGGAAAAGAAGAACCAAUAAAAAAUGAAGAACACCAACUCACUCUCAAUGUAAAGAAACAAACUUUAUGGUUCAGAGAAUAUCCAAAGGGAGUACUGAUUUUCGACCCCAACGUUCCAAAACCUUAAAGAAGGUUAUAUACAAGGUUUUUAAGAGGCAGGUAACAGUACAAACUUCAUCACUUUCAACACACUCUCAUCAACCACCACAGGGACACUGAUGGAUCACCAAACGUUUGAACAUAAUCAUGUGAUAGUUACUUGAGACGAGAAAAAUCUUUUUUUUCCCACCUGUUUAUAUAAAUGACUUCAAUACAUACAGCUCACUUGUACAGAAAUAGCAUGCUUGUAAGAAGGGAAUGAAACUGGGAGCUAAAUGACUGAAUCACCUUGCUAACAUGUAUAACAAUAGAAUCUCAAAAGGUACGUAUCAACCAAAAGAUCCUGUAAUAUUCACUUGCAUUAAGCUAAGCAACACAUAGAAAAAACAUAGACAGCUAAAGAUCCCACCAAACAGCAGAAACACAUAGCUAAGUAAUACUAGUUAUAGUAAGGAGAUCAGAACCAGCAAUAAACAGGUCAAAAGGGACUGGCUUUUAAAGAUGCCCUAUGCCAAAUGUUUGGAUCCAAUUCAAAGUUUACAAAACCAGGUAUCAAGUACCAAAAAGUACAGAAAUUGCGAUAAUAAACAGAAGCUGAUUUUAAGAAAGAACAUCAAAAGUGGAUGUGUGAUGCUUAAGGAAGGAGAUUAAUAAAUGAGACAAGAAUCUUACUUUGCUUUUGGUGUCUGCAUUACUGAGACUUCUUUCUUUCCCUGACCCACAACACCUCCAACACCUUGAGACAAAUCUUUGGCUGAGAAACAAAUUCAACAUCAGAAUCCCAGAAACACACAGCAUUAUAAUGUACAAUAAAAAAUCACCAAGUUUGAAGAAAUGUAGCUAUCCCAUCUGUCUCUCUCUCUCCUUAACUAACAUUCAAACAAACAGACAAAGCAAUACAAUACAGUCCCUUCAAAGAAACUCCUCAUAAACUACUCCCACUACCACCAACCAGGCAGGAAGGAAGGAAAAUUAAAGAAAGAAAAGAAAGAUUUAAUCUUCAAGGUUUCAUCAUGGAUCAUAACAUAAGACACACCAUCUCCAACCCUUUAUUUUCUUUGGCAGUGCCUUUGCUUGUACUCAUGUAGUAAUAUAUUCUGCUCCCCACUAGUUAAUGAACCCUAAAACCAGAAAUGCACCCCCAUAAAGGAGAGAGAUAACAUAAUAAGUAAGAACCCUAUUCCCAGAUUUCUGAAAUUUCAUCAUCUUUCCACUAUGUAUGUCACUUUCAUCUGUGUUGCCACUGGAAAUGAACAUGCUACUGCAUGUAACUAUGAGAGAAAUAGUGUGAAGUUCAGAACUUUAAGAACAUAUCUAGCCUCAGCAGCUUAGCAGGAAGGGAAAAAACAGCUUAGAUCCAUAAAUGGUACAAAGUAAGCUACGGUACUGCUUCUUUCAUAGUUUUCUUCCUAAAAGUACUAGAGACCAUUUCCCCCACCUGGAGAAAGGAAGAAAGAAACUCGAAGCUUUGUUCUCUGCUUCUAACCCAAAAGGCUUCCACAGUCAAGGAAUUGCAAAGAACAGAAACUUGCAUUACUUACAAGUGAACGACCAACAGAAGAGAAGUCAAAAACAGAGCUUUACAGUAAGAACUGAGAUUUGCUUUUCCACCAAAACUAGAGGAAGAGUCCAAGAAGAAGAGAUGACCAAAAGACAAAAGGUAGCAACAAAUCAAACAGUACAACUCAGAACAGAACAAGACACAUUUUCGAAGUUCAAAUAAAACAAUGAAAAAACAAAAACAGAGAAAGGAAUAAAAAAAAGUAGGGCAUCUUCGUUGCUGUCAACAAAGAAGAAAAUAAAAAGACUAACGUUUGAAGGUUUUACCAGGAGAUUUACACAGUCGAUAUGCAAAGCAACACUUGAUUACUGGGUAAUUUGAUUCUUCUUGUUCUUUUUUCACUUUCCCUUGUUUCUGGUUGCUCUGCUUUUGAGUAAUGGGAGGAAGAUAAGAGGGGAACAAGAAAAACCCUAGUAGGUGAUGAAAUUUCUGCUAAUGGAGGAAAAGAAGGAGCACCUACUGCAUUGGGUAAUGGAAGAAGAGCAGAGUAGAGGCUAGAGAGAGUGAUAUUAUUAACUUUAGCUCUCUCACUUCCCGAGUCUCUCUCUUUCUCUCCUUCGUUGUCUGUGUUCUUUCUUUUUCCCAGUCAGUCUGACUAUAUUUAAUUAUUAAUUAUUAUUUACAACGACCACUGUGGUGUUGAAAUUAAAAUCCGGAUAGUUAAUCUUGGGCUUUGUCUUUGGGCUGGGCCCAACUUGCCUGCUUCAAACCGUUCAAUCCCGGAGAAUGGAUACUCCUUGCCACUUAGGUACCAACAAUGUUGAACAUCAAUAUUAACAUGCUGGUAGUCACGUUGGAGAAAUCCUUAUCUCGUUAUUGUCGAUAUCAACGAGAUGUCAUUUCGUCGAUACCUAUUUGGUAUGUUUUCUAAACGAAGAAAACAGUGGAAAAAAAGGACGUCGCAAUUCGGAACCAGAAUACAGAGUUUUCAAACGAUCACGACAUAUUGUCCACACCCAAACGACCCCUUGAGUGAUAAACCAAACAAUACAAGGGAGGUAUGUAUAAAGUUGAAUCUGUUUUGUUAUGAUCUAAAUCUAUAAAAGGGAAAGCAUGUGGGGAAGUAAGUUAGGUGUGUGACAAACAUAAAUCAAGACAAAUACCAACUCCUAGACAAGUAGUAAAUGAUGCCAAAAUCCCACAUAAGAAGAUUAAAAAUAUAUAUAAUUAAAUGGUUGAUUUGAAUUGAUAGUGAGAAUGGAAAGAAUAAUGGUGGAGAGAGAGAAAGAAUCCUUGAGCUUUACUCCAUAUAUAGCUAGCUGGUUUCCACAUGCCUUCAACAGUUCAACUCCAAAGAUCCAUCCAUAUCUAAGUACCACACUGAAGAGAAACUGUAAUCCACCAUUUUGGCUUGUUUGUUAGGAUUAUAAAACUUGAGGGGGAAAAAAUCAUAGUGAGAAAAUCAGAGGAUGUAAAACAACACAUUCAAAUUUCCGUAGAAGUGUCGAGGCAUGGGCGCUGGUGUUGUAAUACGGGACUCGGAUGGUGUUUGAGUGAUUGCUGUUGUUCGUAGACUCGAGGGUGAAUGGACGCCAGAGUUGGCGGAGAUUAUUGCCGUCGAGUUUGGGUUGCAAUUGGCAUGCCGUCAUGGUUAUGAGAGGGUUUUUUUUUAUAUUGAUUGUCUGGAGUUAAUUACAAGGUUCUUGUCUGUCGAUAGUGAUUUUUUUUAGAUGGGAAUUCUGUGUAGGAAUAUUCAUAGCUUCUCGAUGAGUUUGUCUAUGAGGAAUUGAGGUCAUUAUCGAAAGAAAAGCCAACAAAGCAGCUUAUAUUAUGGUACAUAGUAAUGCACAUUGGAAUAAUUUUAUUAUUUUGAUGAAUAGACUUCUAAUGUUUUUGAUUGACCAACUUCAGCUGAACACGGUUACGAAUAAAAUAAGAAUAAAAUCCGUAAAAUUGUGAAUUAGUCAACAUAUCCACUAAAUCACGUUCCGCGCUUACCAGCAUAGCAACAGUGUUAGAAUUUCACUCAUGAGUUUGUUUGAAAUUUGGAUUUAGAGGGUUAGAUUUUAUUUUCUCAAUUAACUCUCUUAACAAUUAACAUGCAUAUCUUUGUGAAUGCACUUUUGUUAGAGUCCCUCGACAUUUGGUUGUUAUUGAUCAUUUUUCACAGCUCUAAUUCGUAGCCAACUGGACAUAGAAAACCCAGGAUAAUGACUUAAAUAUAUAGGUUUCAUAUUUGAUCGUUAGGUAUGGUUAUGUAGCUAUAUAACUGAGAGCUAUGGCCAGGUUAUUGGAGAAACGUUAUACUCGACCUGCGUGUAGGGCUACAUGUAUGCAAAAAGUAAAAGUAAGUUAAUUUGAAAAAAUUGAACGCUAACAUAACAUCAAAUAAAAUUGAUUUUUACUUCAUUUGACCAUUAUUUACAGGGGUUGUCAUGGUGAAACUUGAUUUGAUAGUCAUUUCCAACAUGCAUGUAAAAUAUAAACCGAUUNNNNNNNNNNNNNNNNNNNNNNNNNNNNUUUAAAAAUGGUCAAAUUUUCUCAGUAUAAUACACGAAAAUUGACCAAUUUUGACAUGAAAUUUUUUAAAUUAACUAAUAUUUGACAUGGAUGUUGAAAAUGACUAAAAAUUGGGGGUUCACCAUGUUAAUCCCUUCAAAUAAUAGCCAAAAAAAUUGAAAAAAAAAUUGAAGGGUUUUGAUCGUUGUUGUUAGUGGGAAUUAUGUAUUUUCGAUUACGAAAAUCUUAACUUGAAUUUCUAGCGAUUUCCCACCACAUAUAUGAUUCAACCAACUAUUAUGGAUCGUACUUUUUUCUUCUAAUAUUUUUAUAAGAUAUUCAAAUGUACGUUCCCAAAGAAUUUGUUGGCAUUGAAAUGCAUGAAAUGAUAGUAUAUCGUAAUCCAUCCACUAACGGGUAGAGAGGUUGCAAUGAAGAGUAAAUAGUAAAUACACAAAGGACAUGCCAUAAAGUUUAGUACUGCUCUUUUAUGUUCGUUCAGCUUCUCUCAAUUUUCAUAUUCAAAAUUUCAGUACCUCUGCUCUGCAUUCUGCGCUAAAAUCGCAAGUGUGGGGACUGACAGCUUCGCUAGCUACACGAUUCUCUCGUGUGAAAUGGAACUCUGAUUCGAGUUCAUGCCCCCCAUGCCAAUGACUCCAUUCUGGCUCAUCUUUCUCUCCAUUGAUUGGCUCAUAAUACUUUCUUUCUUUCCUUCUUUCAUCUGAACAGUGGUGUACUAAUUUUGUCUCAUUAAUUCCCAUCUUAAUUAUGUACAGAUACGGGCUAAUAAGCAUAAGAUUGCUUGUAAUGAAAACAACAGACUAGAGACAAUGAAAGCGGGGAUUUUGGCUGGGCUGGAGAUGGUUGGUUAGCGUUCGCGAGGAAACCAUGGUGGGUUGGAAUUUGGAAACCUGAUCCGGGUGCCAGUAUCACUGUUAAUACGGAUGGUUCGGUUUUCUUGAGCUGCGGUAAGGGGAGUUCUUCAUGACCAGCAUGGUCGAUGGGUGGCUGCUUUUGCAGCUAACUUGGGCAUCUGUAGUAUUACGCCACACGUGCCGAAAUUAUGGGCAACGUCCACGGCCUCUGUAUUGCCUGGGAACUUGGGUAUAGGAGUAUCUGCCUCCAACUCAACCCGACUUCAGCCAUCUCCUGUUUACGAGAGGCUUCAGAAGUUGUAUCGAGGAAGCUCGUCAGUUGCUUAAUGGCGAGUGGUAUGUCCGUAUUUUGCACACCUUCCGAGAAGGUAACCAAGUCGCCGUUCGCCUUGCUCACUGCGGCCUACAGGCAAUCCCUGGAGCUGGGUAUUCAUCGUUUUGACGUCUCUUCCUCAAGAUGUUAUGGUUUCUGUUAUAGCAGAUGCGGGUGGUAUUGUGUUCCCCCGUUGGAUUCCACAGGUUGAUUAUAUCUACCACAAAAAAAUCGGGGUGCGAUCUUCACAACCAGGGUGCGAUUUUCACUACCAUAAAAAAACAUCAACAGACCAAAUAAGAGGCAACAUUAACCAUCACAGAGAACACCAAAUAAACUUCCUUUUCUCAAUUACAAUAGUACACUUUAAUAAUCUGAAUCAGGUUCGCUUAAUCAGAAAGGGAAAACUGAUGGAAAGUAAGCACUGGACAGCUAAGACACAGGGCUUUCAUGUGUUAAUAAUAGCAACUAAACAAAUGGUAUGACGAAAGAACACUUACACAUGAUUGCCAAUGGAGGACCCGGCCAAACGUGUGCGUGCGGAUUUAAACAUAAAAUGACGGAAAAAAGCAAGGGAGACAGAGAUACCCAAUCUCUCCAUUUCAUUCAUGAUGCCAUUUCGUUGUUUUCUUCUGCGCCUUUGACCAGAUUUUAUAUAUGCUUUUACCAUGGUUUUAGUUUGAGCUGCAAACUUGUUAUUACAGAUCCCAGCUGUUUUAUCAAGAAGCUUCAAUCACAGACUAUGUGGCUUAGUUUGUAACCCUGAAUUCCUUGAAAUGAGUUUGUCUCCAUGCAAAGUUAUCUUCCAGCAAUCCGCUUGGAAUAUGAAAACAGACAAUUUUUUCGGCACAACUGCAGCAUUUUAGAGUUUUUUAUGGGAUUAGCGUAUGGAAAUAACAUACAAACAAAGCAGAUAGACAGUCCUCGGGGUGGAUAUUCAUUGAAUAGUUUGAUAAAGUUGGAGCAAGAAUAAGUGGUUUACCUCUAAACUUGUCAUCUCGUGUAAUUAUCCCAAACGUCUCUGCAGUUUCACGGAUCAUGAUGCCACUAACUCCGGUAAAAGAUGAUAUCUUACAGUCGGCAACUGCAAAAGGGAAGCACAAAGAUGAAGGUUUCCCAAAGAUAAGAAAGAGGAUACAAUUUGAUUCAGCGUCCAUUGCCAAAUAAUGUUAUUUGAAUCCUUCAAACAGGUUUCUUCUACUUGUUCAGAGAUUCGAAGUUAUGGUCCAUUUAUUAAUUUAGGUGGUUAGUUGGUGACACAUGAUACACAGAUUGAAAUACGAACCUAUAAUAAUGGCACCAUGAAGAUCUGCGCCAAGAAGACAUUGAGGUAACUGAUCUGUCCUGUAAAUUAUUAACAAUAUACGGUCAAAUGAUCUUCUUAACAAACUUAAAAGUUAUAAGUUUGAAAAUUUGAUAGAGGAGUCAUUUACCCAGUGUUUUUUAGAAGCUUUGACAUGUAGUCUUUCCACAUCUCAUGCAUUGGCUUGAACACAUCAAAUCUGCAACCCCAAUCCAACAAUAGAAAUACCAGAUGCUAAAUGGAGGAAAAGGGUUUCAAUGAGAAAGUUAGGGACAGGAAAACAAAAACUUACUUCCGGAGAUGUUUUGCCAAUUCUAGUGAUCCACACUUUUUAUGUUGCUUCAUAGACAUAUGCUUCUUAGACCUCUUAGCCUGCAAUUGCAACGCCUCCGUGCGAGAAGUCUUAGAUUUGCCACGCACCGGCACAUAAUUAUCAAGUAAUAUCCAAUUCUCCAGUUUUUUCGUUCUGGAACCCUGCAGAUACUUCUGAGAAAUAUCCCCACGUUGAAAAAUAUCAUGUAGAAUCUUGUCUACCGUACUCCCUCUCUUAGUCUGAACCUGGCCAGGAUAAGCAAACAGAAGUUUAGCGAAAUAGAGAGAGCAAAACAAAAUCAUUAUCUCUAAUAAGGUUUGAGUUCAAAAACAAAGUACCUCACUGUUGGUUGUUAAUAGAUUUUCAUGUACAGGUUGAGAGAUUUCUGAAUAUGUCAAUCCACUUCCUUCCAAAUCUGUUUGAACAACCAAAUUCUACCAGUUAAUAGUGCAAUUCCAAACAGCAGACAAUGAUGCAAAUCUUUCAAAUCGCAUGAAUUGCACAUACCUUGAGCUGUGAAGUAGCUUGAGGAAAAGAAAUUCCCUGCAAGUAGAGCAGCCACAAACAAUCAAAACUGGAACAAAGUAAAGCAAGUUCAGGACACAAUUCUGAUAGAGACAGUCACCUUUCCUCGUCGGCGCAUCAACGGAUGUAGACAUUGAUGCAGCACCGGAAGAAGACGAUUCCGGAGCUUUCCCUUCUCUUUUCUUACUUUCUACCCUAGGCCUCUUUUCGCUUCUCUUCUGCUGUUGGAGCACCUCAGCUUUAGCAACCGCGAACCUUCUCUCUAAUGCGUCCAUAGCUCGUUUCCUUCCAUCCUCCGCCGCCAUCCUAUCAAAACCAUUCCGUCCACAGCGAUGCAAUCAAUCAUUGGUUCACCGGCGAAUAAAUAAAAGCAGAAGUAUAAGAAAUCUUCGAACAAAUACCUUGAAACUCAAACUCGAAUUCAAUCAGCUGACCCGAGAGAAAUCCGGCCGAUGGCUGGCCGUCUGAACCAGUGAAGCUCAGGUUCACCGUUGAGGAGGACACAGUAGCGGCUAACCAGAAAGACUUCACAAAAAUCUCGUGUCAGGCUUCCGGGUUUUUUGAAUUAAGAUCCAAUGGGCUUAUUAUAAAAUCGGUUUUUACUGGGCUUUCAGAAAUCCAAAUUGAUUUAAGGUCGAGACUUAGCCCACUUGUUUAUCAGUCCGAGUCCGGUCCAGUCGCAGUCCAGUACUCAACCGGCUGAGAUCAGAGCGCAAGUGGUGGAAAGAUAAGAGAAAACCGUUCCCGAUGCACAUGCAUUCAGCUGAUUAUCGCCGACAACUUAGCAAAAAGCUGGCAGCGCCGUACGAUGGAACCGGUAAUAAUAGGUCCUGCAGCAAUUUUAUCACGCGCGCGAUACCAGAAACCGGUGGACACCCACCGGAUCGUCCGGUAGGAAAAGAGAGCCAGACCGUUGAGGACACAGCGUAAUCAUCAGCAGUAGAACGUGGAAGAAAUCUCAGCUGUCCGUUAAAUAUAAUUCAUCAGACGGCCAGGUAAUAAUGUCGUCAUCGAUCUCUGAUCUCUCCCCUCGCCGGACGAAAGCACAGCUUUGUAAAAGGAGGAGAAGACGGAGAGAAGCCGCGAGGAUUUCUGCUAAUGUGAACUGUCUCCUUGUCUGCAAAACUGUCAUGUGGUGCAGUAUUUUCUUCGAAACCAACAAAAGAUGGCGACAGUUGGACGGCAUAUGGCUAUAUCCAGUCACAAACUUAACGUUCCUUUUUGGAUAUUUACCAAGUUUGUCCUAUACUUGUUGAGGUUCUAUAUUAUAGUCCAAAACUUAUUUGUUCUUUCCAAUGUAUACAAAGGAAGUUGUUAUAACUUGUAACAUAAUUGUCACUCCCGACAUUUUUCAUUCACUAGUAUUUUAAAGGGUAUCAAUCUAGUCAACUUAAAGAAAAAAUAAUCAUUAAGACUCACAGAAUAAUAAUUACGUUCGAAUUCUAUCGAAAACAUGAAAUGACUUGCUAAAAUAGAACAAAUUACUUAUUAAUAUUAAUUUUUCUGACUAGACUUAAUGAGUGUUGAUAAAUUUUUGUAUAAAAUGGAGGAAAGUUGGUGGAAAUGACCCUUUUGUUACAACUUUAACUGUUGAGGGAUAUGUUGCAUAACUGCAAUAUAUAGAAGGAGGAAAGAUGAUAAUUACCCUUCCUUUUUCUCGGAAAAAUCGGAUUCGAGGUUGGCAAAUGGUCGGUUAGGGUUUUGAAUUUCUUUUUAUGUAUUCAACAAUGUAAGGCUUCAAAUUCACGCCUGUAAAGGUACAGUUUCCAUUAUAUAUCUCCCUUUCUUGUAGCAGACUUUUAAGUCGGCGAUGGCGGAGGUGAGAGGAGGAGCAGACACGUGGCACGAGGAACUAGCGACGCUAGUGGAGGACUCCAGGAUACUGUACUCCGGAAUGACGUUUGAUCCGAACGUACCGGACUAUGUCGGCGCCCAAAUGUACAGCGAAGUCGCUGCGACGACUACAGCGGAGACUGAACCGAAGUCGGAGGAAAGUUUGAAGGUGCAGGUCACAGAGUUUGCAAAGGCUUGGGGAGAACUGCUACUGGACUUGGGGAAAGGAUGCAAGGACAUUGCAGAGCAGAAUCUGCUUGAUAAGAAUUCGUUUGUAGUUCAAAAGAUUGUAAAGCCAAUUGCAAAGGCAUCUGGUCGGCUUGCAUUCAUGAAUGACUACUUUUUGCCUGAGGAUCGCAAUCCGGUCCACGCCUGGCCAGUUGUGUUCUUCGUUUUCGUACUCGCACUCUCAGGUAAUGCCGAUCGCUGAUCCGAUCCGGAUGAUGUUUGAUCUGUCUGCCUGUUUCAACUUUCCUACAGCUCCUGUAACCUGAUUUAGUAGUUUUGUCAAUUGAAUCUGGUUAUGAACCGUCCAUCAAUGGAAUUGGGGGAAAGUUAGUUCUGAUGCCAUGAAAUGUCAUGUCAAGCCACUGUCAGUACCUUUUGAAAACAGUGUUAGAAAAGAAUAGAAACUGUUCAAAUGUCAGUCACUGCCUUUCUCCUGAUUUGCUAAUUACCUUAUUUUGAUUCCGUUGUUAAUGAUAUGCAGCAUUGAGAGUAAAUUCCCCAGAUGAAAGUUCAGUAGCAGUUGUAAAGAAAAUGCGUAUACAUCCUCCUUCUGCAAGACGCAUACCAUUACCUGACGGUAGACACAUAGCUUACCUUGACCGUGGUGUUCCAGCUAACCAAGCGAGAUACUCUGUCAUUUCUCCGCAUUCUUUUCUUUCCUCUCGACUUGGAGGUAAAAUGCUGACCAAGUCAUUAUGUUCUGCUAAUUUUGAAUAUUUUGUUUCUGACAAUUUGAAUCUAUGUGCGUAUUACAGGUUUCUCUGGUAUUGAGGCAUCUCUGCUUGAAGAGUUCGGCAUUCGGUUGAUAACAUAUGACCUUCCGGGUUUUGGAGAGAGUGACCCUCAUCCUGGCAGAACAUUGAACUCAUCUGCACAAGAUAUGCUUCACUUGGCCACUGCUAUUGGCCUAGAUGACAAAUUCUGGGUGUUGGGUUUCUCAAGUGGAAGUAUGCACUCUUGGGCUGCCCUAACAUAUAUCCCUGACCGGAUCGCAGGUAUACACUUUGAUUCUAUUUUGUGGAUUCAUGAUCAAGUCUACAGUUUCCAGUCACGUUUGAUUGUUGAGCUAGCAUCAUUAUGUUCUUUUGCCAUAAUCUAGUGUGAUCUAGAUUCUUGGUCUCAUUUCUCCUGGUUUUGGCACCUUACUUUUAGCAUCAGUUAGUAAUAAUAGUACCUCUUGCAUUAAAAUGCAUCGUUAAUUAACUUCCACCAUGUACCUUGAAAACUUCAAACUGAUUGUACAUGAAAUUUGCAGGUGCUGCCAUGUUCGCUCCGAUGGUAAACCCAUAUGAUUCUAGCAUGAGCAAGGAAGAGAUGUCUAAAACAUGGAAAAAUUGGCUGUCAAGAAGAAAGUUAAUGUAUUUCUUGGCACGGAGAUUUCCAAGUUUCCUCUCCUUUUUCUAUCGUCGCAGUUUCUUAUCAGGAAAUCAUGGUCAGAUUGAUAAGUGGAUGUCUCAACCACUUGGAAGGAAGGUGAGGAUAUACUUGUGCUUAGUCUUUGAUAUCGCCCUGCAAGCUAAAUCUGCAAACGCAUACACAUAAUACUCAAGCUUGACGUUGCAGGAUGAAAUUCGUGUUAAUGAGCCGACAUUCGAAGAGUUUUGGCACAGAGACGUCGAGGAGUCGGUACGCCAAGGGAGCGUUAAACCCUUUGUCGAAGAAGCCGUACUACAAGUGUCAAACUGGGGUUUCAAUCUGGCCGAUCUUCAGGUGCGAAGGGUAUGUCCAAAGAAGAGCCUUCUUCUUCGGCUGAGAUCCAUGUUCAGUGAGGAAGAAUGUGAACUCGCCGGUUUUCUUAGGCCAGUACACAUGUGGCAGGUUUGUAGCAGAAUGUGUUGUUAAUGUUCCUUUUUCUUCCAUAGAUGACUUCUCAUGUUUUGGCACGGAACAGGGAACGGAUGAUCAAGUAGUGCCACCGUCGGUUGCCGAGUACAUUAGCAGGAUUCUACCAGGAGCCACGUUGCAUAGGCUACCAAAUGAAGGUCACUUCUCUUAUUUCUUCUUCUGCAAAGAAUGCCACCGGCGAAUUUUUUCGACUCUUUUCGGAGAUGCUCUAGGCCCUCUUCCUCUCAACGAGAACGUUGAAGAAGAUGCUGUUGCCGUUGACGAAUCUUCGUUGGCAGUAGAAAAUACUACUGCCACCGGAACUUCUGUUGCUAGCUCUUAGAUGCAGCAACACACGAAUUCGGAAUGCUCGUUGUAACUAAAGUCAUAGACCAUAGAUGGAAGGCUGUUAAAAGUUUGAAGGCACAACAAAAGACGACAUAUGUUACUCAAUUCGAUUGAAGGCGGCCUGCAUAUAUAACUGAUGUCACUGGUAUACAAAAAUAAUUGAACUCAAGAAAUACUACAUCAAUGAAUGGAUCUGUACUUUUUGAGGUUUCAAUUUUUAUACAGAAAAUGCUUGAUCUAUAUCUGCUGCAGCCUUCUAAAAAGCAGAAGAGGUGGAAUGUUGCCCACCAAGCAAGAUGUUCUUAGCUUCGUUGACUUUGUUUGAUAUGUAGUGACUACCGCCUUGAUCAGGAUGGUUGACCUUCAUGAUUCUCUUGUAAGCGUCCUUCACAUCUUUUGCUGGAGUCCUUUCCCUGUGUAAACAAAAAAAAAGAACCACGUUUCAGUUUUUUACUUGCAUAGAUAGUUCUUGACGUAUCAAGGAAUCGAAAUAGCAAAUACAAACGAAUCUAAAACUCUAGCUCAAACAUUACCUUACUCCGAGUAUAAGGGCGGCUUCUCUUUUGGUCAUGGUAGGUUGAAACCCCCCUUUGUAGAAUGCACGCGGUGCCGUCUUCAGAGCUUGGAAGGCCUGGAUCGUGAAUCUCGCGGCAUAAGCAGCUCCGGCCACUGCGCAUCCUGCUAUGAAAGGUGUAGCCUGUUCCGAAACGGAAUGGGAAUUAUGCGUUGGCUAAACAUAAGAAAGAGGGAUGAUGCAGACAGUGGAGAGGUAAGAAAGAGUCGCUCACCAUUGAUGAGGAAAUACGAGAGAGCUCGAGGACACAGAGAUUAGCUAGCAGUAUCGAGAUGAAUGUUAUAUAUAGUUUUCAAAGAUUGCUGUCGAGUAUUCUCGAAGGGCCUGGGUUUUGGGCACCUCCGGCUUAUUCCCCAAGAAAAGGAAUUGUCAGACAAGGCAUCCACGUUUACUUAUAGACUUAUAGUUUUCAAAUUAAUUAAAUAAAUAAUAUUUAUUAAUUUGUGAUUUAAGUUGAAUAAAUAUAUUUAAAUGAAAUAUGGCAGCCAAAAUAUUAACUGCAUCUCUUUUCGUGGCUCUAUUAGUUAAUUAGUUUGCUUUCAACUGCAUCUUUCAAAUACUCGUAAAUAAAUAUUUGGAAACAUCGUAUAUGUUGCUGAACCUGCAACGCCAAUCAAAGACAAAACCCAGAAUGCAUGUGUUUACACAACCAAUGGAGAAGUGGAGAAACAUGAACUAAACCAGCAGAUUAAGCUAACAAAAACACAUAGAUCCGUUUGAUUUCGAGAUUUGGUAGAAGGUAAUAUGAAAUAGCAAGAGAAUUUACUAGUCUCCAGCCUUAGGAGUUGUUAUGAACUUUGGUGAUGAUAGAAUUCCAAACAUCUGCGAGCUUCUUCAUCUUCUCCUCAUAAACUUCUUUAGUAGCGUUUUUGUUUAAGUCCAACCACAGUGAAGCUUCUUCAAUUGCACUCUCUACCAAUGUUUUGUCAUCAUAACUCAUCAUGUUUCCAAUUGCAGAAGUCCUAAUGGCUUUCUUCACAUCGUAGAUGUACUUUUCCAAGGCAUUCAUGGCCUCUACUCGCGCCUUGGCUAUCUCGUCUUCCUCCUUCAUCAUCUUUGCUUCUCUUGUCAUCCUUUCAAUCUCUGCAUGCGUCAAAUACCCCUUGUAGUCAAUGAUUUUGAUUAUGCAGAGAGUCUUCUUUCUUAAGCUGUCACCGUUAAUAUUCCAUUUACAUCAACCUCAAGUGCUACAUCCACUUGUGCAACUCCCCUGAAAUUAAACCUAAAAUCAACACUUUUUCUUUCUUUCCAGAUAACACAAAAUAAAAUACCUAGGAGCUGGCUUGAUAUCGGACAAAACAAACUUUCCAAGCUCGGUACAAUCCUUCGUCAGUGGCCUUUCACCUUGAACCACCUGAUCAUGAAAGAUUUCGACUUGUUCAUAUUACUAACAAUAACUUAUAUUGUGUAUUGAUAUAUGUACAUGAAUGCACACCUACGAACCAUGAUAUUCAUAUCGGUUUGCUGGUCUACCAACGUGCCGUAAUUUUGUGACAUCUUUGCAGGAACAACCUUUCGAAGCCUCGCUAGAGCCCAGCAGUCCCCACUAAUAUCCUUGCCGUUGUACUUCCUUUUAAUCAAACCGAUGAAAUAUUCUAUCACCCGCCGAUCGAAAUCUCCCCCACCGAGAUGCGUAUCGCCGCCGACGGCUAGUACUCGGAAUUCUCGACCGUGGACUUGCAGCACGCUGACAUCGAACGUACCACCGCCCAGAUCAUACACCAGAAUCUUACUCUUGGUGUUCCUUUUCCUCUUUCUCUUCAGAGGAUUCUUUUGAUUAUGGAAUCCGUAGGCUAGGGCGGCAGCAGUAGGCUCGUUGAUUAUACGGAGGACGCCGAGGCCGCCGAUUGUGCCGGCGUUCUUGGUGGCUUCCCUCUGUGGGUCGUUGAAGUAAGCCGGCACUGUCACUACGACUCGGUGUACCGGCUUUCCGAUAUAAGAUUCGGUGGUUUCCUUCAUCUUCCCCAAUACCAUGGCGCUGAUUUCUUCCGGACUGAAUGCUUUGACUUUUUCUCCAAUUUUGACCUCCAAUUCCACGUAAGCCUUUCCAUCUCUGUUGACCACCGUAUAAGGCAAAUAUUUUAUGUCUUGUUGAACCAUCGGGUUGACAUCGAAGACAGUGCGGCGGGGGUUGAAAGUGGCCUGAUUUUUGGCUGCCUCGCCGAUGAGACUAUCGGAAUUGAAUGAGGAGAAGCCAACGGAGGAAGGAGUGGUGCGGUUGCCUUGAUCGUUGGCUAUGAUUUCCACGUUGCCGUUGAUUGCGACGGCGACGCAAGAGAAAGUUGUGCCGAGAUCAAUCCCGAUCACAACAUCUCCUCCGCCGGCUUUGCUUAUCGCCGGCUUCACAUCUUCUUCUUCGAUUUUCUCUGCUUUCACUUUCAACAUUGUGGGAACUCUCUAGUCUCUGUAAUACUGAUUGUUUGGCGGCUGUUCAUAUUCCAAACUCGUUAGUAAACUGUAAAUCCAAAAAAAAAACCCAAAAUGAGCAUGCUGAAAUUUGGGAUCUACUGGCCACUAUAAUCUCAUUUAAAUGCACCGUAUAUCAUCAUAAUUUAAAUUUUGUACAAGAUACCAUUAUAAUUUUACUUAAAUUGUAUCGUUAAUCUUUUCAUCAACUAUUAACAAAGAAUUUAUUAACUUGAUGAUGUGAAUACGUGACAUCAAUACUAAACCAGCAACUAAUAAAAAUAAAAUAUUAAAAAUAAUUUUUUUAUCAAAUAUUAAAAGUAAGAGCCCUAAUUUUUUUUAACACUGCCGACUCCUUAGAGUCCUACACUUGAUUCCGUCUUCCUCCUCUCUCUUUUCGAUCAACUUACUUGAUAAUAAUGAUAAUGUAAUACAAUCUAAGAACAAUUGAUUUUCUUUUUAAUUGUUGGUGACAAAACCUUUCCUUUUCUGUAGUUAUGGAAAUGGAAGAUGGACCUUUUUUUGUUGUCAAAGAGUUUAGAAGAUGGAAGAUUUGAGAUAGACUGAAAAUGAAGAUGGAAGAUUUGGGAUGGAUUGAAAAUUUUGUUAUUGAUGUUGGAGAAUAGUUAGUUGCUAGCUCAGAUCAAAUUAAUUGGAGGUCUUUCUCUUUUUUUAUGGAAGAAUAAUCUUCUCUUUUUUUUUUCGUCCCCGUCCAAUCUCGAUUCAAACUCUAUUAUAUUUCGAAACUCUCCUUUUUCAAUUUUUCCAGUGUUGCUCCUAGCUAGUUGCCACCAUUCUUGAGUUUCCAACUCUCGACUUCAGUCUCACUUUUAAGACGCGAGAAAUCGAUUUCACAAAAUAAUUGAAAAUCCAUAUCAAAAUUAUUAAGAAAAUCGAAACAGAGAGCAGGAGCAGCCUCACAUUUUCCCCUGCAAUGUUGGACAGCUUAGUGAGCGUUGUUGAGCAACGGUGGCGUUACACAACCAUGACAGUAAUGGCGACAGAUUGCCCGCGGUAGAGACGAAGAUGGUUGCGACAAUCCGGAUCAAUGAAAUCUUAGGGAGGGAGGUGAAGAUAUUGGGGAAAUAGAUAUUAUAAUAUUUAUUUUUUAUCUAUUUAUUAUUUUUAUUUGUUGCUAACUUGGUACUGAUGUGGGGUUCGCAUCAGUAAAUUAACAGAAUUUUUGUUGAUAGUUGACGGAAAAAUUAACGAUGCAGCCUAAUUAUAACUAUAAUAACAUUUCAUACAAAAUCUAAACUAUAAUAACAUAUCGUAAAUUUAAGUGAGACUAGCAUAAAACCUAUUUUACACCUCCAUAUUUUUUUUGGAAAACGAAAGAAGCCCAACCCGCAACAGCUAAUAUAAUAUAAGCCUAGAAAGUGAAAACCCCAAUACAAACAUAUUGGGCCGAGUUGUCGUCUAAACUGCCAACGGACAGAAUAGAAGUUGUGGCCCACCAUUUGUACUGUACAGAUGAACCGUACUAGGACAGUUAGUGCCACCCAUCAUAACUAUUCUUUUAAUCAAAGACUAAAGAGGGAUUAAUAUGAUUACCAAAAAAUGGUCAAUGUACAAUUAUAGAAAUUUGAGAUCAAUGUAAACAGGAGAUGAAACUAAAGAAACCAGCAAAUAUAAGGUAAGUUAAAACAAGGAGUUCAACUAAUUUGGAAGACCAUCUUUGACCAAUCAUGCCAUAAAAUUAGAAUGUCGAAUAAAUUGUUUUCUGCGAUGACACAUUUUGGAUUUAAGUAAGAAUCGCUUCGUAUUCUCGUGGCCAUUUAUUAAGAGAAUUUGAGAGAGCAUUAUAGAUCUAAAAAUAAUCAAUAAAGAUAUUUGUAGGAACUAGAGUAAGCUCCACCAUGAGGAUAAAUUGGUGGUUGGAAAAAUAGUUUACCAUCCUUAAUUACCAUCGAUUAGUUGACCAACGAUAUUAUAUAAUAUAACAUCGUAAUCCGCCCUGCUCGGUGGCUAGGAGAAUAUUUUAGUUAAAGUACAUUUUAUUUAUUGGUUCAAUAAAAAUAAACUUUAAUUUGAACCGUUGGAUGUUUGGAUCUAAUGGGUUGAUUAUCUAAUAAUAAAUUUUUCGGAAAGUAUUGUCAUCAGUUUAUUCAUUUACUGAUAAAUUUAGUGGUUUUCAUUUGUUGGAUGUUGAAGUACUUUUCCCUUCAUUUUUUAAAUUUCACUAAACAUUUGGAAUUGUUUUACUUGCCGCUAAAUUGGAGUUAUUCAUGAAACAACUUGUAUAUUUUAAAUUAUUUCUAUUUCAAAUUAUCUCGAUUAAAUUCCAAACUAAAAAUACAGUUAAACAUCUUUUUGAUUCACCUAUUAAGUGGAAGUUAAAUGUUAUAGUUCAGAGUCAGAAGCACAGUAACAAAAAUUUACAUUCUUCAAGAGUCUUAUUGAUGCUUAAGGCAGAUUAAUAACUUUCAUAGCAUCAACAACCACAAAUCUUGAGAAACACAGACAACCAGUUAUUAAAUUACACAAGAUCCAGUUGAGAAAAUAUAGAAUAUAUAAAUAAAAAGAAAGAUUUUGAUACAAAUGUGCAACAUGUUAUUAAAUUACAAAGGUUCAUAUAAACCAACCCCUCACAUAAACGACACAACAAUUUAUAACAAAUGAAGUGAACCAUAUUUGAUAAUUUGUAGUAUCAUGAAUGAAUCAUAACUUAAUGAACACCUUUCAACAUUCAAAGAACAGAAAGCCAGUAAAAAAGGAGUCAACUAACUUCAACACCAAGUUAACCGACUUCUCCAUUUCUCACCACACCAUUCACAGCCUUGAUCAAGCUGGAAUCCACCUUAGGAGGACCCGAAUGCCGCCUCGGCUUGGCUGAUGAUGGAUAAGAAAGCUUCUUCUUUGCAGAUGCAAAUGGUGCAUUAGCCACAUUAUCCUCUGAUACCGCACCUAUUCCUAAUGGACUCUGCAGCCUUGACUUAGCUUUUGCAGACUGUGUCGGUACCAUGUAGCUCGGAAGAGAGCUUUCAUCGUCACCACCUACGGAUGAUCCUGCAAUGCUGUGCCUUCUAUGUGACUGCAUACUAACCAUGCUUCUUGUGUCAUCGUCUGGGACUCCAAUGCUGCUCCUGGGACUUGCUGGCUUGAGUUUUCUUGAAGGUGCUGGCUUGGAUUUCGCUGAAGGGGAAUGUAUGCUUAUCGUGUCGGCUUGAUUAUCUCCUGGCGAGAAAAGUUUAUCUGAGUUGAGCUGGUAACGGGCGUAAGCUCUGCUGAUUUCUCCGCCAACCAAACUGCGGCUUCCACUCUUUACAGAAGCUUGGUCAUUGUUGACUUCUUUGUCUGGAUGAGCCGACAUCCAUCGCUCGAGCCAGCUCCAUCCCCAGGAGGGAUUGCCAGGAGUCAUGAACAUAGUUGUGUUUGAUCUUGAAGGAUUCUUCAAGCUUUGCUGCAUAGAGAUUUUAUUCAACAAAUUCAAGGUCCAAUUGCAUGUAAAGAAACUGAGUAAUAAUUGGUUAUUACCUGAUGGGAAAAUGCAUAAGCUAGUGCUCUUUCCCUUCUCAUUGUUGCCUCAUACUUGCUUAGUAAGUUGCUCUCGAUCUUUUCCUUCGACUGCAAGCUAUCGUCCCAUUGUCCUUUCAUCUGUUGCAAUAAUCAGUGCAAGAAACCAUCAGCAGCUGGACUUAUAAUCUGGACCAAACACUUCCAAUGCUUUCAUGAACAAUUGCAUCCUUAUAACUCAAGUUGUUGGAGAGGUUUCAAAUUGGUUUCUAUAUUAUUCAAUAACACGACCCCUCAAAUAGCUAAGGUUUGUAGAUCUUCGGUAAGUCAUGUGCACGAACUGUAGUCUACCAAGAUUCAAAACAGAACCUCUCGGUCAUUAAAAGGCUCUGAUACCAUGUCAUGAACCGUUGCAUCCCAACUCAAGUUGUCAGGAAAGAUUUCAGAUUGGUUGUUAUAUUAUUCAAUAACAAUUGACCACAGAUUUGCACUUCUGACAUAACAGAAGCUAAGCAAGCACGGAGUGUAUUCAUGAAAAAAAUGGAAAAAGAACACCAAACCCGUAAGCUCUCUAGCUCCUUGGCGUGUUUUUGCAAGAGUUGUCUCUGAAGGGCUUGGUUUUCUUCGGACAUUCUGACUCUCCUGGUAUGGAUUUGAGUUUGGACACGAGAUAGAGUUUGCAUGCAGCGGAGCGUUUGAACAGCUUGUCUCUUCACAGUAGGACCUUCCAUCAGUUGCUUCAGCCUAACCAAUCCUCUUAAAGCCCUCAAUCCCCUCCUAGCCUAGAGAAAGCACACACAAUUCAAGAAGUUACUAAAUUUACUUCCAUUGAUUCUCUUCUCACAAAUCAUCCAACAAAAAGGAAACCAUGAUUCCAUUUUUAAUUACCAGAUAGCCCCUGAAUGCAGUUUGAAUCCUGAUCGCUGCAGCUUCCUCCUCCGAUUUCCCAGCGAAUUUGUUAGGUUUCGCCGCUCUAACAACUUCCACUGUUGUCUCAACAAUAGGCUCAGGAGCCUCAACAUUAGUAUUACUUUCAUUACUGGUCUCUAAUACUGUAAUCUCCUCAGGCUGUGGAGGAGGAAGUGAUGGUGUUGCCACUACAUCUUCAACUGGAGGAGUCAAACCGGCUUCCGGAUUCUGCUUGGCAAAAUGGGAUUUACUAGAAUUCUGAAUCAUAGACAAAGCAGGGGAGAACCAUCAAAAACCACAAACACACACGAGUUUUUACUAGAAACGCUUUUGAAUGAGAGAGUGCAAACCAAAAAACCUGGUGUUUCUUUUCCUUUGAAGAAGGGCUGAGAGCUUUCUUCACACUGGAGAACCACUUCCCUUUCCUCCCCAUCACUUCUUUAACAUUCCUCACCUCAAACCCUUCUGCCAAUAGAAACAUAGUAAAGAUGCCAAAUUUCACUACAGAAACUAAGUAAAGAUGCCAAAUUUAUCCUAAAUUAGUUGACUUUAUGUAAAUUUCUGAACCCUCUAGAAACCGUCGGCCAGGUCUUACAAAAGGUCAAAUCUUCACAAGCUGAGGGCAUUCUCAGCAACAAAACAAGAAACUGAAGCAAAACCAAACCCCCCGCCGACCAAGCAGAAGCCUUUAUCAUCCCUAAGAACUUCUUAGUAAGAAGUAUGAAGAGAUAUGAAACAAAGAGUGGAUAGAAAGUAGUACCAGUGAGCUGAAAUGGGAUUUAAGAUCUUCAAGUAGUGAAACUUUUGUUUUGUAGGCCUUUACCAGUCGUCCUCCUUCCUAACUUUGCUCUGAAGCUAGGAGAGAAAUGCUAUGACACAAAGAGAAAGAAGGGGAUGAUGAUGGGGAAAAGGAGAUGCUUCAGAUCUAUCCUUUGGAUUAAAGUAAAGAAAAGGAAAACAAGUAGUAUAAUAAUACUAAUAAAUAAUUAAUCAGUAAUAAAUUCAACGAGAGAGAAAAAGGGACAUUGAAAUGGAAGAACAUAAGAAGAAGGAGAAGAAGAAGAAGAAGAAAUAGCAGACCCCACAAUUGCCAGCUGGUUUUCUUUGGCCGAGUCUGUGCUGUGACUGAGUGAGCCUCAUGACGUGGGACCCACUAGCAUCGACGGCGAGAAACCGGCGCCGGAGGCAGGGACUGAUAGGGGGGAAGACAAACUGUCUCUUCUCUGUUUGCUGUCGCGUUGUCUUCUUUUAACGGUUUAAUAAAUUUUAAUUACCCGUUAUUGUUGUGGGUUCUGAAAGUACGUUAAAAGAAAGACUUUGCCGAAAGUGAUUAAUUUAAGGAUUAACCUGUGUUUUCUUUUAUUUUUACUGCGAAACCGUCCGAAACAUUUACUAAUUGGUAGUGUGAUGUUAAUGAUGGGAAGAAGUAAACAGCAAGCUGAAAAUCGCUUUAACUUUCCCGGUUGCCGGCCAUGUGGGUCAGUAAUUUCUGUCAUCUUCUUUGUAAUUAUAUUUAUUAAUCAGCCGAUUGAUCAAUCGGCCUACAAUGACUUGCCUUAAUUUUCAAUUUGUUACAUAACGAAUAAUUUUCGUUACGUUAGACUUACGUAAUAGGCUUAAUUUUGCUUCUUGCGUAAGGAAUAACUGGCGUUACUUAAGCCUAACGUAACUCUUACGCAACAUGCUUAAUUUUAUUUGUUACGUAAGACAUUUACUAUUACGUAACAUUCUUAAUUUUUCUUGUUACGUAAAGAAUAAUUGUUGUUACGUAAACCUUACAUAACCGUCUUUACUCUUACGUAGCAGAUUUAAUUUUAGAUUAAAUCCCUUCAAUCUCUGUGGCCUUCAAAUGUAGUCUGAACUUGUGAGCUCCAAAUUUGGACUAACUUGAAUGUUGAGUAGAGUAGCCAGUGAUUGAAGAAAAUAGAAGAAUGAAGUAGAUAUCAACAAUUAAACCAACCUAUUUCACCAAAAUUAAACCAACCAUUCCAACUGAGUAAUCAAUCAAAACGACAGUUUGCAGGCGAAACUUUGAAAGCAAUUGAGCGCGUAUGAGGUAUCUUCUGGCCUAGUCAAUACAACAUACAAUAUUAAAACUGACAACAUCUCACGUUGUCAAGAAUCCAUACUUCUUAAACGGGUCAAAAAGCAGUUGGAAUAGUAUUAUUAAUUACUACACAUGAAUGGAUUUCUUCUUGAAGCUGGACGUGUUUGGUAUCUGUCAAAUUAGCGUCAUUUUGUGCCGUUGGCCUUUGAUUUGAUUUUAGAUUUCUUGGCGGUGAAAACAAGAAACAGAAGAAAAUCCAGGAGAAUUGAGACAGUGAUAGAGACACUGGUCCAUCCAAUUUGAAGUGAUUCCUCCUUAUUAUUUUUAGGAUAAGGAUUUGGUGAAUAAUUGACUACAUAAUGUACUUUUAUUUAGUUUGGUUUUGUGAAAUAAUCGGUUUAAAUUAACAAUUGAUUCAAAAUACAAUAUUAAAACCGGCGUGACAGUGGCUAUACGGUAAAGUUUUCGAAAAAUCGACCGCCUCAGUAUACAAGAUCACGUCUCAAUGAAGAACGACAUGACAGAACGACUCCGUAUCAUUUUUUCGUAUUUGGCUUUUUUUUGGUGGUGAAUGUCACUGGCUCGGCAAAAUCCUACAGCAAGAGAGACAGGUUAGAAUGUGGGCCAACUAGUAAGGCUUCCAAACUUUAAAGCAAACAAAUAAAGCCCAAACUUGGCUUCAUUCCAUGUCGUAUAAUGGACAUUGUGAAAAAGUUGGCCCAUCUGGAAUCGUCUUCUUUGUGGUAUUUUGGGCUUGUAAGUGAUUAUGUUAAUAAUCAGGCUUCAUAUCCAUGCUAGUUACCAAAUACUAAUAACAAUUUACAACUUAUGAUUAUUACCAUUCAAACUGUUAAUUUACAGUUGUAAUAUAAUUUUUUUAUGUAUAUUAAGUUGACCGAUCAGCAUGCCAAUUCAACAUUUUAGUGAACUCAAUCUCCUGACGAUUCACUGAAUUUGAAUUCGGAACAAAUUUGCGUUUAAAAUCGAAUUGUGCACUUAAAUUUGAUUUUCGAUAAAGAAAAUUCGACGAACCGAACUGCAAGGCCUAACACUAAUUGUGACACAAAAGUUUAAAGAAACGACAACUGCGUUAGUAUGUGAAAAUGAGAUGCAAAAACUCGCACCAACAAAAUUUGCUCUACCUUUAUUAAUGAUGAGGAAAACAAAAAGAAUAGAAUCAUUGCUCAUUUCUACUACAUAACAUCAAUAAUAUUGACAUUAGACAUUUUUAUGCCACGAUCAUAUGAAUCGAUGAUAAUAAAUUCUACAAUCACACAGAAAAUGAAAAUUCAUGAGGAUGAGAGGAUAUCCAAAGAAGGUACUAUUUUUUUAGUCGGGAAACGAAGCCGCCACAUCAUAAUUUUAGAGCACUUUGACGGUGGAAUCCCCUUUAAUUUUGUCUCAUCGUCUAGGGCUACUUCUUUCACGAACUUUAUCGAGUUCUGCAAAAUCAACAUCCAAAUCCAUAAUUAAUAACCAUAGCCCCAAUAAGGGAAACACUUAGUUUGAUUGGUGAUCUAAAAUAAAAAAGAGUAAGCAUAUAUAAUUAGAUAUCGUGAAAGUUUAUAUUACUUGUGAAGUGUGCUCCGAAUAUGAAGGACGUCCCCAUCGCUCAGGGUCCCAAAGGAUGGAGCUAUUGAAGGCGAAGCUCGAAACAUGAAUGGGAGGUCUCGCGAUUUCGGUAUCGUUGUCGGUCUGCCCAUUCAUCUUCUUGAGGUGCCACCCAAUAACCUGGGAUGAGUCGCAGAUUGGUCCUUCGAUUACUACCUCGCUCUUGUACGGAGACAGUGAUGCCAUCGGCCAUGUCCCAAACAUCCUGCACCAAAUCAAAUUCCCAAACCGGUUCACAAGACUUUGCCUUUCAAUAAUAAUAAAAAUGCCAAGAACAAAGUCAAAUGUUUGGAACAUGCCUGGAAUAUAAUGUGUUUUAUUUGGUCAUUAUUAGUUAAGUUGCAUGAGUUAUGUUAAAUUAAGAAGAUAUUGAACCACAAUCCAACUGCUCCUUGGAGUAUAAUUAACGAAAUAAGAUGGGGAACAUCACCUAAUUAAGCAUCUUCUUUGCAUUAUCAUGAGAAUCUCACUGACAACUAAAAAACAUGAUGCAUUUGCCACGCCGGAAUUGGACCUAAUUUUGAAUACGAGUGAAAUUCGUAUGAUUUAUUUUUUCGUAAGUACAAAAUGACAAAAAAAAUUCAGAUUUGGGGGCCAAUUCCAUUCAAUUUUAGCUGUCAAAUUCUAAUUGGAGGUCCAGAUAUAAAAUUCCGGUCUAAAUCUAACUUUUGGUAGAAUAAAUAAUUCCGGCUGGAAUUGAAGCCUAAAUGGGGAACAAAAGUAAUCUAAAGUGUUCGUUUCCGAGUUAAAAUUGAUACUGAAAUUAGUCAGGAAUUGGACUCAAUUCUGGACGCCGAUAGAAUUUCGCCGAAUAGGUUUUCUCAACACACAAACCGAUGAAACCAAUCCCGACGGAUGAGACCAAUUUCUGCCGGAUUUGGGGGAGGAUUCCACUAAUUUUCAACCAUCGAAUUACGUUUGGACAUAUCUGGAUUUACAAUUCCGGCUUAGAGCUGAAACCAUCACCUAAAUCCUAGCAUUAAUCACUCAGUGAUCAAAGAGUAAUCAUAAAUCGUAGUAACUAAUUACGGUUGAUUGGUUAGGAUUCAGCGCUAAUCGAAUUCAGUUCAAAGGAGAGAAUAGACAUACUCAAUUUCCCUGAGGUCGUCGAAGAAGUCGAGGUCGUAGACAUUGUGAAUCCCGGCGAAAUGCACGAUCCCGCUCAGCCUGUGAUGCUCAACAUGCUUUAACGCAACAUUCCUCUGAUGCUCUAGCUCAACCUCCGGGUCCGUGAUAUUCUCCUUGUACACCAAAUGCCUGUACAUCAUCCCGGUCUUCCUCAGCAUCUCCGACAGCUCGUUCGUCUCCGCCGACUGCUUCUGCUCCACCACCACCCACAGCAGCGGCGCCGCCACCAGCCUCAGCGUGUUCGCCAGCCGCCUCAGUUGCACGCCCUGGUACGGAUCCCUGGCGUUGGUCGGAGUUAUGAUGAUGAUCAGCCUCCUUGAGGUCAGUUUCAGAUCCGGAACGAACUCCGCCGUCCCCGUGAACUCCUCCUCCGUUUUGGAUGACUGUUCUCCAGCUUCCGGAGUAGUUGAGGCGGGAGGUUCGGAGAUGGUGCUUCUGGUUAUGUUGAUUUUUCUGGAAGUUGAAUGGAGGGAUGCGAUUUGUGGUGGCGCAUGCGAGGUGUUUGAUGAAAUGACUGAACGAGAUGUUGUUGUUGUUGUGGAGGAGAACAUGGAGGAUUUACUUGUAGGGGCAAAGCCGCUGAAGAAGCCGAUGACGAAGCAGAGGGCGAAAUGGACUACUGCUUUUUUCCAUAUCUGGACUUUCUUCCUCGGUCUUUCUAAAGAACCCAUUGCUCUCGUCUAAUGAAAAGUUUUGCAAGCAAAGAAGGAAAAGAGAUUAAAUUGACCUGUGAGUGUCCACAGGGAUAUGGUGUUUAAAUUACAGGACACAAGUCUGAAGGUUCUCUUCUGUAUCAGUUUCCUCUUUUGUUUAUGAAAGGUGUGAAGCGAGCUACUAAAUGAUGGGGACUUGCCAACUCUAAUGUGGUGGUGGAAUUAAAAAUGGGGGUUCAUUAUAUUCUUGCACCUUCUUUUGCUGUUGAAUUUCAGAGGAAUGUGAUUGGUUAGGCAUUGCUUCGUUUAGUUGUCGCUUCAAGUAUACGGGAAAAAUAUGAACAUUGAGUUGCAAUCUGGCACCAAAUAGUUGUUGGGAUAGAUGGAUGGAUCCCUAUCAACUCAUAUGUUUCUCUAAAUCUAUUCAAACACCAAUCACUAUAAUUUAACAAUCCCCGCACCUAAAGUUAUGGACAGUAACAUUCCAAUCACAUUAUUUUUCUUUCCCAACAAAAAAUUAUACAUAAUACGGUCUCUCGUUAAUAACAAUUCACUAACUUGAGUUUUCUUUUUUUUUUAAGGAAAUUUUGACAUUUCCUUUGUGACAAAAUAAUGAUUCAAGUUUCCAUUACGUGACCAGUUAAUGUGUCCAUUCAUUCCAUUUCAGUCACUUAUAUACAUCAGUGAUGAAAAAAAACAUUUCAGUAACUUUAUUUCGCUUUUUAAAAAAAUAAUGAAAGAAGCUCCGAUCACUCAAGUUUCUGAUACUAACAUUUCAGUCACUGGAAUUCUACAAGUUAACAUGAUAUUUAUUCAAAGUUUGAAUUAGGUGAUAACAAGUGCAGCUUUCCGAUCACUCAAGAAAUGGAAUUUAUGUUGCUUGUUACAACUGAUUAUGCAUAAAUAAGCAGAAAAUAAGAAAAAUAAUACCAUGGGCGCAGAUGUAUAACGAAAAUAUCAUCCUAUUAGAAACAAACAUCCAUCAUCCAAAAACAUCCGAUACUGUAAGCCGUCCACGAAAAUUCCGGAGCACAAAAACAAAACACAAAUUGUCUAAAGACAGACAGAAAUAGAACUCUAAAAUUACUUAAACAGCAACCCUUCUCAAAUACUGACACCUCAUUUCUUCUUGGCUGCGGACUUGGUGACCUUGGCACCAGAUGGGUCCUUCUUCUCCACGCUCUUGAUGACUCCCACAGCAACAGUCUGUCUCAUGUCCCUAACGGCAAAACGUCCAAGAGGAGGGUACUGGGAGAAAGUCUCCACCACCAUGGGCUUGGUCGGGAUCAUCUUCACCAUACCUGCAUCACCAUUCUUCAAAAACUUGGGCUCCUUCUCAAGCUCCUUACCAGAUCGCCUGUCAAUCUUGGUGAGGAUCUCAGAGAACUUCACAGCAAUGUGGGAGGUGUGGCAAUCCAGCACUGGAGCAUAUCCGUUUCCAAUCUGACCAGGGUGGUUCAUGAUGAUGACCUGAGAUGUGAAGUUGGCAGCUUCCCUGGCUGGGUCGUCCUUGGAGUUGGAUGCAACGUAGCCACGCUUGAUAUCCUUGACAGCAACAUUCUUAACAUUGAAACCAACGUUGUCACCUGGAAGAGCCUCCUGCAGAGCUUCGUGGUGCAUCUCGACGGACUUGACUUCAGUGGUCAGACCAGUAGGGCCGAAGGUGACAACCAUACCAGGCUUGAGGACUCCAGUCUCCACACGUCCCACUGGCACAGUUCCAAUACCACCGAUCUUGUACACAUCCUGAAGUGGCAGACGGAGGGGCUUGUCUGAGGGCCUCUUGGGCUCGUUGAUCUGGUCAAGAGCCUCAAGAAGGGUUGGGCCCUUGUACCAGUCAAGGUUGGUUGACCUCUCAAUCAUGUUGUCACCCUCGAAACCAGAGAUUGGAACGAAUGGGAUUUUGUCGGGGUUGUAUCCAAC
rnacentral:lncRNA from 1 species